rnacentral:rRNA from 1 species
UUAUGUUCCAAAUGAUUUAUCGCCGUAGGAUGGGACUGCGGCCUAUCAGUUUGUUGGUGAGGUAAUGGCCCACCAAGACUAUUACAGGUACGGGCUCUGAGAGGAGUAGCCCGGAGAUGGGUACUGAGACACGGACCCAGGCCCUAUGGGGCGCAGCAGGCGAGAAAACUUUGCAAUGUGCGAAAGCACGACAAGGUUAAUCCGAGUGGUUUCUGCUAAAGAAACCUUUUGUCAGUCCCAGAAACACUGAUGGAUAAGGGGUGGGCAAGUUCUGGUGUCAGCCGCCGCGGUAAAACCAGCACCUCAAGUGGUCAGGAUGAUUAUUGGGCCUAAAGCAUCCGUAGCCCGGCUCUGUGAGUUUUCGGUUAAAUCUGUACGCUCAACGUACAGGCUGCCGGGAAUACCUGCAGAGCUAGGGGGUGGGGAGAGGUAGACGGUACUCGGUAGGAAGGGGUAAAAUCCUUUGAUCUAUUGAUG